rnacentral:lncRNA from 1 species
GACGGAUCCCACGCGGCUCCAUUACUACCUGACAGGCCACGAUAAACGGCCGCGAUCCUGCUCCACCUCCUGCAACGGAUACCGCGCGAUUCUCCCAUCCGCUGGCAAAUCACGACAACAAACGCCGCCCCACUUCACGCGGCAGACUCCACGUGGCACGCCCCAGUGAUAGCCACGGGUCCAUUCCACUACUCUUCGCAGCAAACUCCGCCUGACCUUGGGCAGCCCACUGCCAGACGGUUACAAACGUCGCCAUCAAUCCGCUACCUCCUCCGCCUAUAAAAAGGGGGACCCAGAUACGUUAUUCUAUAAGCUCAUUUCUUAUCUCAAAACUCUGCUAAAUUCUCCGUUCGAGCGCUCCAUUCUUGUUGAGGCAGAGAACUGACUUGAGCGUCGGAGGGUCUUGCCGGAGCAACCCCACCUCCGGUUUAGACUUCCCUUGCAGGUCCCGGCGGCGACCGCGACUUCCCCGACUCCAGCUUCUCCGGCGCAAGCGGAUUUUUGCACCAACAAGAUGGAUAAUUAAAUUUUAUGAGUAUAGGAUCAAAAAUAUUAUUAAGUGGAUGGGAAGUAAAAUUAGUAGUUUAGUAAUUUGUUUAUAUGUAUAUUUUUAAAAAUUUUUGGGUGAUAUAUAAAUUUAAAUAAUAUUAUAAAUAGA